GAGGAAUGUAUAGCAAUAGCUACUUGUAUCAUUAAUGAUGCAAGCUCGACUAUGUUGAAUAAAGUUCUAGGUAGAAUUAUGAUAAUGACAUUGUCUGCCUAUGUGUCUUGACCAAAUUACGUGCCAGCAGUCGCGGUAAUACGUAGAAGACUAGUGUUAUUCAUGUUUAAUCGGUUUAAAGGGUACCUAGACGGUGAAUCAAGCUUUAAAAUAAAUAAGAAAAGGACUAAUUCGCUAGAGUUACUUACGAGGGGGUAUUAAAGUACUGCUGGUGUAGAGAUGAAAUUCUGUCAUACCUCUUUUCGAAAGAAAAAUCAUGGCACAGGUAUAGGCGAAGGCAUCCCCUUAUGUGAUAACUGACGUUGAGGGACGAAGGCUUCGUGUAACAAACAGGAUUAGAUACCCUAGUAGUUGAAGCAGAAAAUGAUGAAUGUCAUAGAUUAGACGUCUAAGUUUAUUCUAUAAAUGAAAGUGUAAGCAUUCCACCUCAUGAGUAAUUUGGCAACAUUGGAAUUGAAAUCAUUAGACCGUUUCUGAAACCAG
rnacentral:rRNA from 1 species